GUUGAUCCCGCCGGAGGUCACUGCUAUCGGGGUUCGAUUAAGCCAUGCGAGUCGAGAGGGUUCAGACCCUCGGCGGACUGCUCAGUAACACGUGGAUAAUCUGCCCUAUGGUGGAGGAUAACCCCGGGAAACUGGGGAUAAUACUCCAUAAGUCAGGAGUACUGGAAUGUCUCCUAACUGAAAGUUGCGGCGCCAUAGGAUGAAUCUGCGGCCGAUUAGGUAGUUGUUGGGGUAACGGCCCAACAAGCCCGUAAUCGGUACGGGUUGUGGGAGCAAGAGCCCGGAGAUGGAAUCUGAGACACGAUUCCAGGCCCUACGGGGCGCAGCAGGCGCGAAAACUUUACAAUGCAGGAAACUGUGAUAAGGGAACCCCGAGUGCCCGUACACGCGGGCUGUCCCGGUGUUUAAAACACAUCGGAAGAAAGGGCCGGGCAAGACCGGUGCCAGCCGCCGCGGUAAUACCGGCGGCUCGAGUGGUGACCACUUUUAUUGGGCUUAAAGCGUUCGUAGCUUGAUUUUUAAGUCUCUUGGGAAAUCUCACGGCUUAACUGUGAGGCGUCUAAGAGAUACUGGGAAUCUAGGGACCGGGAGAGGUAAGAGGUACUUCAGGGGUAGAAGUGAAAUUCUGUAAUCCUUGAGGGACCACCGAUGGCGAAGGCAUCUUACCAGAACGGCUUCGACAGUGAGGAACGAAAGCUGGGGGAGCGAACGGGAUUAGAUACCCCGGUAGUCCCAGCCGUAAACUAUGCGCGUUAGGUGUGCCUGUAACUACGAGUUACCGGGGUGCCGAAGUGAAAACGUGAAACGUGCCGCCUGGGAAGUACGGUCGCAAGGCUGAAACUUAAAGGAAUUGGCGGGGGAGCACCACAACGGGUGGAGCCUGCGGUUUAAUUGGACUCAACGCCGGGCAGCUCACCGGAUAGGACAGCGGAAUGAUAGCCGGGCUGAAGACCUUGCUUGACCAGCUGAGAGGAGGUGCAUGGCCGUCGUCAGUUCGUACUGUGAAGCAUCCUGUUUAGUCAGGCAACGAGCGAGACCCCC
rnacentral:rRNA from 1 species